rnacentral:rRNA from 1 species
UGCCAGCCGCCGCGGUAAUACGGAGGGGGCUAGCGUUAUUCGGAAUUAUUGGGCGUAAAGGGCGUGUAGGCGGCUUCGUGUGUCUUCUGUGAAAGCCCUCGGCUCAACCGAGGAACUGCAGGGGAAACUGCGGAGCUCGAGUCCGGGAGAGGAGGGCGGAAUUCCCAGUGUAGCGGUGAAAUGCGUAGAUAUUGGGAGGAACACCAGUGGCGAAGGCGGCUCUCUGGACCGGUACUGACGCUGAGACGCGAAAGCUAGGGGAGCAAACGGGAUUAGAUA